ACGGCUCAGUAACACGUGGCUAAUCUGCCCUUGGGACCGGAACACCCCCGGGAAACUGGGGCUAAUUCUCGAUAGGUGAAGAACUCUGGAAUGAGUCUUUGCCCAAAAGAUGCUAGAGUUAUGCUCUUUGGCAUCGCCCAAGGAUGAGGCCGCGACCGAUCAGGUUGUUGGUGAGGUAAUGGCUCACCAAGCCUUUUACCGGUGCGGGCCGUGAGAGCGGGAGCCCGGAGAUGGGCACUGAGACAAGGGCCCAGGCCCUACGGGGCGCAGCAGUCGCGAAAACUUUGCAAUACACGAAAGUGUGACAGGGCUAUCCCGAGUGCCAUCCGCUGAGGAAGGCUUUUACCCAGUCUAGAACGCUGGGGAAUAAGGAGAGGGCAAGUCUGGUGUCAGCCGCCGCGGUAAUACCAGCUCUCCGAGUGGUGUGGAUGUUUAUUGGGCCUAAAGCAUCCGUAGCUGGCUAAGUUAGUCCCUUGUUAAAUCCACCGAAUUAAUCGUUGGAUUGCGGGGGAUACUGCUUGGCUAGGGGACGAGAGAGGCAGACGGUAUUUCCGGGGUAGGGGUGAAAUCCUAUAAUCCCGGGAAGACCACCAGUGGCGAAGGCUGUCUGCUAGAACGCGCCCGACGGUGAGGGAUGAAAGCUGGGAGAGCGAACCGGAUUAGAUACCCGGGUAGUCCCAGCUGUAAACGAUGCAGGCUAGGUGUUUGGACGGCCACGUGCCGUUCUAGUGCCGCAGGGAAGCUGUUAAGCCUGCCGCCUGGGGAGUACGAUCGCAAGAUUGAAACUUAAAGGAAUUGGCGGGGGAGCAC
rnacentral:rRNA from 1 species